rnacentral:rRNA from 1 species
CAUAUCAAUAAGCGGAGGAAAAGAAACUAACAAGGAUUCCCCUAGUAACUGCGAGUGAAGCGGGAAAAGCUCAAAUUUAAAAUCUGUCAGUCUUUGGCUGUCCGAGUUGUAAUCUAGAGAAGCGUUAUCCGCGCUGGACCGUGUACAAGUCUCCUGGAAUGGAGCGUCAUAGAGGGUGAGAAUCCCGUCUUUGACACGGACUGCCAGGGCUUUGUGAUGCGCUCUCAAAGAGUCGAGUUGUUUGGGAAUGCAGCUCAAAAUGGGUGGUAAAUUCCAUCUAAAGCUAAAUAUUGGCGAGAGACCGAUAGCGAACAAGUACCGUGAGGGAAAGAUGAAAAGAACUUUGGAAAGAGAGUUAAACAGUACGUGAAAUUGCUGAAAGGGAAACGCUUGAAGUCAGUCGCGUUGUCCAGGGAUCAACCUUGCUUUUGCUUGGUGUACUUUCUGGUUGACGGGUCAGCAUCAAUUUUGACUAUUGGAAAAAGAUCAGGGGAAUGUGGCAUCCUUUGGAUGUGUUAUAGCCUUUGGUUGCAUACAAUGGUUGGGAUUGAGGAACUCAGCACGCCGCAAGGCCGGGUUUUUAACCACGUACGUGCUUAGGAUGCUGGCAUAAUGGCUUUAAUCGACCCGUCUUGAAACACGGACCAAGGAGUCUAACAUGCCUGCGAGUGUUUGGGUGGAAAACCCGAGCGCGUAAUGAAAGUGAAAGUUGAGAUCCCUGUCGUGGGGAGCAUCGACGCCCGGACCAGACCUUUUGUGACGGCUCCGCGGUAGAGCAUGUAUGUUGGGACCCGAAAGAUGGUGAACUAUGCCUGAAUAGGGUGAAGCCAGAGGAAACUCUGGUGGAGGCUCGUAGCGAUUCCUGACGUGCAAAUCGAUCGUCAAAUUUGGGUAUAGGGGCGAAAGACUAAUCGAACCAUCUAGUAGCUGGUUCCUGC